rnacentral:rRNA from 1 species
UGGCGGACGGGUGAGUAACGCGUGGAAAACCUGCCGUAUACUGGGGGAUAACACUUAGAAAUAGGUGCUAAUACCGCAUAAGCGCACAGCUUCGCAUGAAGCGGUGUGAAAAACUCUGGUGGUAUACGAUGGUCCCGCGUCUGAUUAGCUAGUUGGUGGGGUAAUGGCCUACCAAGGCAACGAUCAGUAGCCGGCCUGAGAGGGUGAACGGCCACAUUGGGACUGAGACACGGCCCAAACUCCUACGGGAGGCAGCAG